rnacentral:tRNA from 1 species
GACUUUGAAGUAUAGUAAUACGUUGAAUUGCAAAUUCAAAGAGGUAAUUAUAGGAUUACCAAAGUCU